rnacentral:rRNA from 1 species
AGCGCAGGCGGGAAGACAAGUUGGAAGUGAAAUCUAUGGGCUCAACCCAUAAACUGCUUUCAAAACUGUUUUUCUUGAGUAGUGCAGAGGUGGGCGGAAUUCCCGGUGUAGCGGUGGAAUGCGUAGAUAUCGGGAGGAACACCAGUGGCGAAGGCGGCCUACUGGGCACCAACUGACGCUGAGGCUCGAAAGCAUGGGUAGCAAACA